UGCCCAGCAACUCCUAUCCCUACCUCCUCGUGGUACUGGCCGGGGUACGAGUAACCUUGGGGAAGAUCUUGGUGGGAACUUUGGUCGUAUGCUGACAGGAAAGG
rnacentral:ribozyme from 1 species